UUUAGUGUCCGCUAGGUACUGUUCUGGGGGAUGUUACAGCCUGUCUCUUCAUUCAGAACAGGUAAUGUGCCUGAGUUAGGACAAAGUUAGAUCCCUGAGGUCACAUGGGGGCUCCUGACUGAUGACGACCUCUGAAAUCAUGAACCUCACAGUACCAUGGUGUUGAUGGCUUGCUUCAGACUCCUGGGCUGCACAUGGCCUGAAGUUUUCACAUCUGCUGGUGUCCCAGACCAUAUGUGGAAGAGCAAGGAUGACUGCUGCCACGUGCUGCCACCAAAGCAUCAGAGCUCUUGGCCGGUAUCUCAUCACCACAAUGAGUACAUCCUAGGGGCUAGAGACUACAUGGGUAUUUCAGGCAGUCUUUUGAUCCUACCCUCAACUUGGGCUUGUGAAUAGAGAUGUAAGCUCUUGACUACUGCUCCAGUGCCAUGCUUGUCUGCUGCCAUGAUCCCUGCUAUGAUGGUCAUGGACUGUAACCCUCUGAAAUGACUCAACUGCCAGUUGUAAAGGAAGAUGGAGGACUGUACACUCAAGAGCUCACCUUUAGGAACCAGACCAAGAGACCCCUGACCCUGCAGCAACCAGUGAUGUGUGACCCAGAGCCACAGUGUUCUGAGACACCAAGCUAUGGCCAGAAAGGUCACAGAAGUUAAACUCUUCUUAUCUCACUGGUGUUCUGGAGUCUACUGAAGUACCUCUGCAAACAAGAGAAACCCGAUCUUGAAAGGGCCACAGGCGUGUGUGGACAUUAAAGGAAAGUCAGACUUACAUGGGCUUCUUUGCUGUCUCCCCAGAACCUAGAAACCAUGCCAAGCCCAUAUAGUCAGGUGUAGUGGGAGUUGCAGACCCUUGGUUGGCUCUGACACCUGCCAGCUUCAGGAGCUGAGGGGCCAUAAUCAAAGCGGUGGUUGCUGCUUUAUAUUUUCAUCAGGACAGGGUCCUAGAAGGAGCCAUUCACAGAGCUGUUUGGGUCUUCCAGGCUCCUUCACUCUUUCCUGGAGCCCCUGUCUGUCGGACUGCUACAUCCCGGCAAGAGUGCUGCCAAAUCCCUCAUAGUCCCCCCAGGAAGCAUCAGCCUCCAUCGUCCUGGAUGCAGAGCUGCAGACUCAGACCAGUCUUCAGACCUGGCCACUGUGCUUAAAACUACUUUCCUUCUCUGUGCCCGACCUUCAUCUUCAUGAGGGGAUGGAGACCUCUGCAGGUCACUGCAGAGAUGCCUGGAGACACCUAGAGGAGCUUCUUAAAUAUCAACCAAGAGCUAAGUGUAUGAAGAUUUUCUGCUUGGGUUUUCAGUUUGGACUAGUUGGGAGGCCUCCAUUCCAGCCUCAGUUUCCCCAAUGGUCAAAGAAAGAGAAUCUUCACCGGGAUCUGUGCAGGUCAGUGAAGUAGAUUAAGUUGUCUUUGAUGGAGAGAUUUCAUCACCAUGUGGAGUGCCUCAUGAUGUUCCCAUGUAUACCUUCAAGAGGCAAAGGCAGCCAGGAGCAGGGUACAGUGCUAUGCGGGACCUGGGUGGACUACAAAGUAGCUGAGCUACACUCAUUUCCUGUAGAGAGUCAGUUAGGAUACCAGACUGUCUUCCCCAUUCCUGCCCUCUAUCCUAGCAAGGAGGAGAUAGUUCUAUGUCGUCAGGGAGCUUUCUAGGAGGAGAGAGUUCUAUGUGGCCAGGGUCGUGCUUUCUAGGAAUAGGCAGCCUGAUUCUGUCUGCCUGAGGAGAGCAGAAAUAUUAAAUUUGGCAAUAUUGCUUGGCCCAGGAGGUUUGCUACUCCUCAGGAUUUACCGCCCAUAGUCAUGCCAAGGGCUAGCAGUGACUGUCUUUUUUAUUAUGUUGUUUUAAUAUUCAGUUGUUUGUGUGAUGGUACGCAUGCCUUGCAUGUAGGACUCAGAGGACAGUUCUCUUGUUCCACUCUGAGAACCUAGGACAGACCUCGGUCAUCAGCUUUGAUGGCAGGUGCUUUAACCCACUGUUGCAAGUCCUUGAAAUCAAACUCUGGUGGUCAUGUUUGGCCACAAGUGCCACCAAGCCUUCUUACUGGCCUGGAUGUGUUUUAUUUUUAUUAUCACACUCACCCCAACGUAUGGGGCCAGGACACAAAUAUGUUACAGUAUAUGCUUAGAGAAGGGGGGAAGAAGGGAGACUUAUGUCCUGGUGCCAGAUGUGAAGCCUUAGUGUCUAGCCUCCUUUCUGAUAUGUCCCCAACUCCCUGCUCAUAGGGGCACCCUGUCUCCACAUCAGUUGUCUGUGCUAUUUGGAUUGGUCUCCAGGACAUGUCUGGGUACUUCUAGGAGGUCCCAGCUGGAGCAUCUACAGAAGGAAGUUCCAACAGUCAGAGUUGAAGGCUGCCAUCUGAGAGGGAAGAUACGAAGCUCCAAGACUAAGAGGCUAUACACCUUGGGGAUCAGAGAGUGCUCAGGGCGGGGAAAGUCUGUACCACCCAGGAUGGAAGUGAAAGGGGGAAAGCCUUGGAGGUCCUCAGCAACUGAUUCAAAUGGUAAUCCAAACCAGGGAGGAAAAACCUUUCUUUGUCUGCAACAGAGACCUGGGCCACCUCAGUGUCCAACUCAGAGCUGGGGAGAGUGUCAGACAUCACUCUCAUCCCAGGGCCUUCUGUGUCCCAUGAGUGCUCUGAGUACAUUGUGGUAUCUGGCCAUGGCUCCAAAGAGUGUGUCCUUCAGUGAAUCAGCUAGGCAAGAGAAAAGUAAUGGACUGCUGCCCCACUUCCAGUGAGAGAGGCUCUCACAGCUGGAAAAGUAAAACAGAAUUCCAGGGAGAGUCUGUUGGGAGGUGUGUUAACUGGGUUUUUUUCAACUUGACACAAAUAGAGUCACCUAGGAAGGUGAAAUUUCAGUUGAAGAAUCUCUAUCAGACUGGCUUGUGGGCAUGUCUGAAAGGGGUUCUUUUGAUUAAUGAUUAAUAUGGGAGGGCCCAGUCCACUGUGGGCGGGCAGGUGGUGUCAGGAACUGUGUAAGAAUGCACACUGAGCAAGCCAGUAAGCAGCAUUCCUUCUUGGUCUCGGCUCCACUUCCUGCCUUGAGUUCUUGCUUUGGCUUCCCUUGAUGCUAGACUGGUCUGUAAACUGAACGAAAUCCUUUCCUGCACAAGAUGCUUUUGGUCAGUGCUUUAGCACAACGGAGAAGCAAACUAAUACAGAGAAUGCUUCCCGAUUUGCAUGCUUGUAAACUCCACCGCUGAGACUAAUGUCAUGCAGCAGAUAACAAUCAUUUCUUUUUUAGAGUUUAAAAACUGAGGGUGCAAGAUGAUGGAUCUCAUUAUGCAAUUUCAAACAUACUUUCUUUGAAACCCCACUCCCCACUUCAUUCUCCCCAUUCCCCUCCUGUCAUUCCUCUUCCUUCCCCUGCCCCCCUGAUUCUGCUUCAAUAGCACAUGUAUUCUGUUACCUACUCCCCCAUCCACCUCUCUUAAGACCCUCUGUUUCCUCUCUCAUGGUCCUCCUUCUACUUCCGGGACCUAUGACCACACCCACAUUAGAGACACAUACAUAAAAAUGUUAAUAUAGGGCCUUUAUUAGAGAAAAGGUAUGUGAUAUUUGUCUUUCUAAGUCUGGGUUACUUCUCUUACAUAUAGACAUUUCCAUUUCUAUCUUCCCCAAGUCCUGGAAAUCCCAUGAUUUCAUUUUUCUUUGUUACUGUAUAAAACUCCACUCUGUAAGCGACAUUUCCUUUAUCUAGACAUCUGUUGAUGGACAUCUAGGCUGGUUCCAUUUCCUGGCUACUGCGAAGAAUACAGCAAGAAACACGAACGCUCAAGUGUCUCUAUGAUAGGAAUUAGAGUCUUUUAGAUGCAAAAGUGUGCAAAUGGUAGUUCUACUUCUUGGUGGCGACAGGCUCCCAUAUUGAUUUCCAUAGUGGUUGUACCAGUUAAUACCCCAAACUAAGUAAGCAAUAAGUAAGGGUUUCUCUUUCUCCAUACACUGACCACCGUGUGUGUGUGUGUGUGUGUGUGUGUGUGUGUGUGUGUGUGUGUGUGUGUGUGUGGUGUGUGUGUGUGCGUGCACUUGUGCCCCAUUCUAGCUGAGUGAGAUGUAAUCUCAAAGUAGUCUUAAUUUAGAUUGCCCUGAUGACUAAAAUUAUAUAUUUAUAAUAUAUAUAAUUUUUCCAAAUAUUUAUUGGCCAUCUGUUUCUUCUCUGAGAAUUGUCUCUUUAUCUCAGCCUUCCAUUUGUGUUUGGAAGAUGUGGAGGUUUGGUGUUCACAUUUUUUUCGGUUCUUUGUAUAUGGUAGAUAUUAAACCCCUAACUAGCUGUCAGACAGACAGCUAGUUAAAGCUUUCUAUUAUUCUGUAGUCUGUCUCUUCACAUUGUUGAGAGUUCUUUAGUUGUGUAGAACCCUUGUAUUUUGGUAAUGCUGUUUGUCAGUUCUUAUCUCUUGUGUGGCGGGAGUCCCUUUAAGUGUUCUUGCCCAUGUCUAUAUUUCUAUCAGUUUCAGCACUUUAUAGUCAAGUCUGAGAUUUGUUUUUAAUCGAUUUUUGUACAGCGUGGGAGAUAAAGGUCUACUUCCAUUAUUCUGUAUGUGGAUAGCCGGUUUUCCAAACACCAUUUUGAAGAGUUUCCCCUCCACCCCCAGUGUGUCUUUUAAUGCCUUUUUCAAAAAUUAGAUGGCAGUAACUGUGUGGGUUUAUUGUUGGGCCCUAUUGGCAGACAUAUCUGUUUAGUGCUGUAUUUGUCACUAUGGCUUUGCAGUAUAUUUUGAGGUCAGAUAUUAUAAUACUUCUAGUACUGUUCUUUUUGUCUGGGACUCUCUAAGCUUUUUGGGGUAUAAGAACUUUAUAA